rnacentral:rRNA from 1 species
AUGCGUCAAUUGAAGCUUGUGCGCAACAUGAGGGCUCAAAACGACCCAUGGUUCGCAGAAUACCUACUACGCAUUGGAAACGGAACCGAGGAGACAAAUGAUGAUGGUGAAAUACUUCUAGCUACAAGUAUAUGUGUGCCAAAUAAGACGGAUGAUACCGGCCUGGAUAGACUUAUUGACAGUAUCUACCAAACGGGAAAUGCUUACCUAAAAGAUCCAAAGUACAUCACGUCAAGAGCAAUUUUAUCCACAAGGAAUGACUGCGUAGACAAGAUCAACCUAAAAAUGAUUGAUUGCUUCCAGGGGGAGGAGAUGGUGUACCACAGCUUCGAUUCUGUAGAAGACGACCCACAUAACUACUAUCCACCAGAAUUCUUAAACACCCUAACCCCAAAUGGACUGCCUCCAUAUAUGCUGAAGCUCAAAAAAAAUUGUCCAAUCAUACUACUCAGGAACAUCGACCCUGCUAAUGGGCUCUGCAACGGCACCAGACUGGUCGUACGUGGAUUUCAGAAAAAUGCAAUUGAUGCAGAGAUUGUGAUAGGGCAGUACUCUGGAAUGCGAGUUUUCUUGCCUCGGAUACCAUUAUGCCCAUCUGACGACGACAUGUUCCCGUUCAGUUUCAAGAGAAAACAGUUUCCAGUCAGACUCAGUUUUGCAAUGACAAUAAACAAAUCACAAGGCCAGACAAUACCAACUGUCGGUGUCUACCUGCAUGAACCUGUUUUCUCACAUAGUCAACUAUAUGUCGCGCUUUCUAGAGCAACCGCGACAUCAAACAUAAAGGUACUAACAGGUACACAUGAUGAGAAGAAGAGAAGGAAGAAUAAGAUCACUACAAGCGAUACAUACACAAAGAAUAUUGUCUACACAGAAGUCUUGACUAAAUAG